AAUCAACGCUGGCGGCGUGCCUAACACAUGCAAGUCGAACGCGAAAGUGGAGCAAUCCAUUAGUAGAGUGGCAAACGGGUGAGUAACACGUGGGCGACCUACCUCAGAGUGGGGGGAUAACCUUCCGAAAGGAGGGCUAAUACCGCAUGACAUCCCGUGUUUGGAUACACGGAGAUCAAAGCCGGGGAUCGCAAGACCUG
rnacentral:rRNA from 1 species